rnacentral:rRNA from 1 species
GUGAUUGGAAUGAGUACACUUUAAACCCUUUAACGAGGACCCAUUGGAGGGCAAGUCUGGUGCCAGCAGCCGCGGUAACUCCAGCUCCAAUAGCGUAUAUUAAAGUUGUUGCGGUUAAAAAGCUCGUAGUCGGAUGUCUGUCUUCGGCCGGGCGGCGCCGCUCUGAAUCAAGGGCGCGCGCUCGCUCUGGGUGUCGGGCGUCAAAACUCGACACUCUUCGCGGUCGGACAACACCGCCGGAGUGGCGGGGUCGGCCGGCGAGUCGUUCGCGGCCCGCCGGUUCCCGCCCGUAAUCGUGCGGGGUGCCCUUCGCCGGGUGUCCCGUGCGGCCGGCAACGUUUACUUUGAACAAAUUAGAGUGCUCAAAGCAGGUGCACACCACGCCUGAAUACUGCAGCAUGGAAUGAUGGAAGAGGACCUCGGUCUUGUUUUGCUGUCUUUCUCUAGACCCGAGGUAAUGG